UCCGGUUGAUCCUGCCGGACCCGACCGCUAUCGGGGUAGGGCUAAGCCAUGCGAGUCGCGCGCCCGGGGGCGCCCGGGAGCGGCGCACGGCUCAGUAACACGUGCCCAACCUACCCUCGGGAGGGGGACACCCCCGGGAAACUGGGGCCAAUCCCCCAUAGGGGAGGGGCGCUGGAAGGCCCCCUCCCCCAAAGGGAUGGCGGCCGAUCCGCCGCCAUCCGCCCGAGGAUGGGGGCACGGCCCAUCAGGUAGUUGGCGAGUUAAAGGCCCGCCAAGCCGAAGACGGGUAGGGGCGGUGAGAGCCGCGAGCCCCGAGAUCGGCACUGAGACAAGGGCCGAGGCCCUACGGGGUGCAGCAGGCGCGAAUACUCCACAAUGCGGGCAACCGCGACGGGGCUACCCCGAGUGCCGGGCGAAGAGCCCGGCUUUUGCCCGGUCUAAAAAGCCGGGAGAAUAAGCGGGGGGCAAGUCUGGUGUCAGCCGCCGCGGUAAUACCAGCUCCGCGAGUGGUCGGGGUGUUUACUGGGCUUAAAGCGCCCGUAGCCGGCCCGGCAAGUCGCUCCUGAAAUCCCCGGGCUCAACCCGGGGGCGGGGGGCGAUACUGCCGGGCUAGGGGGGCGGGAGAGGCCGCCGGUACUCCGGGGGUAGGGGCGAAAUCCGUUAAUCCCCGGAGGACCACCAGUGGCGAAAGCGGGCGGCCAGAACGCGCCCG
rnacentral:rRNA from 1 species